GCGGCCGUGGCGGAAUUGGCAGACGCGCUAGAUUCAGGUUCUAGUGGGGCAACCCGUGCUGGUUCGACUCCAGUCGGCCGCA
rnacentral:tRNA from 1 species